rnacentral:tRNA from 1 species
GGGGUUGUGGCUCAGUGGUAGAGUGCUUGCCUUGCAAGCAUGAGGCCCUGGGUUCAAUUCUCAGCACCGCA